GAAGGUCUAGCUCAAUGGCAGAGCGUGUGCUUAGCAUGCACGAGGUCCUGUGUUCAAUCCCCAGUAUGUCCA
rnacentral:tRNA from 1 species